UGGCUGUACCACAUUGAAAAACUGGUUCUCGUCCAAUCACCAAAGUUAAGCAACAUUGAGCCUGUUCAUUACUCAGAUGGGUGACCACUGGAGAAUAUCAAGUGCUGCAAG